GUACAGGGGGUUUUGGGCCCCCAAGCAUAGGUUCGUGUCCUGUUUUUCUAGUA
rnacentral:tRNA from 1 species